rnacentral:rRNA from 1 species
GAUGAACGCUAGCGGCAGGCUUAAUACAUGCAAGUCGAGGGGCAGCAUAAUUGUAGCAAUACAGUUGAUGGCGACCGGCAAACGGGUGCGGAACACGUACAGAACCUUCCUUCGAGCGGGGAAUAGCCCAGAGAAAUUUGGAUUAAUACCCCAUAGUAUUACGGAGUGGCAUCACUUUGUAAUUAAAGAUUUAUCACUUGAAGAUGGCUGUGCGGCUGAUUAGGUAGUUGGCGGGGUAACGGCCCACCAAGCCUGCGAUCAGUAACUGGUGUGAGAGCACGACCAGUCACACGGGAACUGAGACACGGGCCCGACUCCUACGGGAGGCAGCAGUAAGGAAUAUUGGCCAAUGGACGAAAGUCUGAACCAGCCAUGCCGCGUGAAGGAUGAAGGUCCUCUGGAUUGUAAACUUCUUUUAUAUGGGACGAAAAAAGGCUUUUCUAAGUCGUCUGACGGUACCAUAUGAAUAAGCACCGGCUAACUCCGUGCCAGCAGCCGCGGUAACAC